GUGGAGGUUUCUGCGUGGAUUGGUAUUGGGAGGGAUCAGAGGGCGGUGUCAGAGAGAUGGAGAAGAGAUUUGAGGUCGGAGAGAGCAGUGGUAACAGAUGGCGGUGGCGGAGGCGAAGUUCCGGCAGGAUGAUGACGAAGACAUGGAUUGGGUGUAUUUUUCUCAAGAACCCUAAUUUUAUUUUGCCCUCAAUUUUUUUAUUUUUACCUCAAUUUUUCGAUUGGAUUGCAUUUAAUUCCCUAAAUAGACAUAAAACUACGUCGUUUAGGGUUUAGCUUAAACUAUGUCGUUUGCUUCGCCGAAAACUUAAUCCUACGUGGCUUUCCGACAGCCAUGUCAGCAUUAGUUAUAUUGCCGAUCAAUUUUAUGGGAAAAACGAGAAACGGAAUUAAGUUCAAGGAUUUUAACAAGAAUUUUAAAAGUCACGGGAAAAAUGCGAAUUCGGGGAAACUAUAGGGAUUUUGGUGCUAUUUGCCCUUGGAAAGUCCGCAACUCCCGAACGACGCCAGACAAUUCCCCAAUCGCCUUCUCUACAUCCUCCAAACGAGAUUCGGUACUUCGCGUAGUAACCAUCGCUCACCGCACCAAUUUGAUAGAGUAAAGGCGUAUGAAGAUGAAGAAAUAAGAAAGGAAAUAAAAAUACGAUAUAUAAACUCCUCCUGCGAGGCCCUCAGAGAAAGAUAUCUCUGCCCUACAGCUAUUGCUGUCCCUAAAUAAUGAUCCCAAGAUAAUUAACCCUAAGUCGUAAAGAACUAUAUAUAGACCUAAUGACUUGAGGCCCAAUUAAAUAACUUGGAGCCCAUGAGUCUGACCUAAAUAACUUAACC
rnacentral:lncRNA from 1 species